rnacentral:rRNA from 1 species
AUUGAACGCUGGCGGCAGGCCUAACACAUGCAAGUCGAACGGUAACAGGAAGAAGCUUGCUUCUUUGCUGACGAGUGGCGGACGGGUGAGUAAUGUCUGGGAAACUGCCUGAUGGAGGGGGAUAACUACUGGAAACGGUAGCUAAUACCGCAUAACGUCGCAAGACCAAAGAGGGGGACCUUCGGGCCUCUUGCCAUCGGAUGUGCCCAGAUGGGAUUAGCUAGUAGGUGGGGUAACGGCUCACCUAGGCGACGAUCCCUAGCUGGUCUGAGAGGAUGACCAGCCACCCUGGAACUGAGACCCGGUCCAGACUCCUACGGGAGGCAGCAGUGGGGAAUAUUGCACAAUGGGCGCAAGCCUGAUGCAGCCAUGCCGCGUGUAUGAAGAAGGCCUUCGGGUUGUAAAGUACUUUCAGCGGGGAGGAAGGGAGUAAAGUUAAUACCUUUGCUCAUUGACGUUACCCGCAGAAGAAGCACCGGCUAACUCCGUG